GCGGUCGUGGCGGAACGGUAGACGCGCCAGCUUGAGGUGCUGGUGGCCGAAAGGUCGUGGAAGUUCGAGUCUUCUCGACCGCACCA
rnacentral:tRNA from 2 species